rnacentral:misc_RNA from 1 species
UCCGGCUUAUCACCGGCAGUCCCCUUAGAGUGCCCAACUAAAUGAUGGCAACUAAUGACAAGGGUUGCGCUCGUUGCGGGACUUAACCCAACAUCUCACGACACGAGCUGACGACAGCCAUGCAGCACCUGUGUGCAGAUUCUCUUUCGAGCACCCUCCAAUCUCUCGGAGGUUUCUGCCAUGUCAAGGGUAGGUAAGGUUUUUCGCGUUGCAUCGAAUUAAUCCACAUCAUCCACCGCUUGUGCGGGUCCCCGUCAAUUCCUUUGAGUUUUAAUCUUGCGAUCGUACUUCCCAGGUGGGAUACUUAACGCGUUAGCUACGGCACCGCAGGGGUCAAUACCCGCGACACCUAGUGCCCAUCGUUUACAGCGUGGACUAC